GUUCCCACAUGUUCCUCUGCUGCAGUGCCCAGUGCCAGGCUAAGCACCCAGGAACCGUCUUGGCCACAUCCGUCCAUGAAUGACUGCAGGCGGGAAGAGAGUAACACACCCUCUUUGAAGGCCGACAGGAACCAAGAAAGGUUUGAUUUCAUUGCCUGUGGGUUAAAGGAAGCUGAGUUCCAACUCAGGACACAAGUCCACCAUCUCCGUGGGGCGCUGGCUUUCCUGCUAAAGACGCCCUUCCUUGCCCUGACAGCCUGUCUCUCAACUUAUCGCCUGUCCUGCGGAGAGCGGUACAAGCUUGUACUUGGAACCAGCUGUUGGCCAUCCAGGCAGGAGCUUCGCUACUGGUGACUAGCUGGCCCUGGUUGGGGAUUUUCAGAGGAUGGCAGGAGCAGAGCUCAUGACUUCAGAAGCCAGCAGCUAGAAUAGACUUUCCCAAUCUUGGCACCUUGUACUUGGUAACCUGUUUAAUUGGCUUCAGAGGCUUUAACUUGACCUUUAUUCUCCAA